GAACGCUGGCGGCGUGCUUAACACAUGCAAGUCGAGCGGAAAGGCCCUUCGGGGUACUCGAGCGGCGAACGGGUGAGUAACACGUGAGCAACCUGCCCUAGGCUUUGGGAUAACCCCGGGAAACCGGGGCUAAUACCGAAUAUGACCUGGCCUCGCAUGGGGUUGGGUGGAAAGUUUUUCGGCCUGGGAUGGGCUCGCGGCCUAUCAGCUUGUUGGUGGGGUGAUGGCCUACCAAGGCGACGACGGGUAGCCGGCCUGAGAGGGCGACCGGCCACACUGGGACUGAGACACGGCCCAGACUCCUACGGGAGGCAGCAGUGGGGAAUAUUGCACAAUGGGCGGAAGCCUGAUGCAGCGACGCCGCGUGAGGGAUGACGGCCUUCGGGUUGUAAACCUCUUUCAGCAGGGACGAAGCGUAAGUGACGGUACCUGCAGAAGAAGCGCCGGCCAACUACGUGCCAGCAGCCGCGGUAAGACGUAGGGCGCGAGCGUUGUCCGGAUUUAUUGGGCGUAAAGAGCUCGUAGGCGGC
rnacentral:rRNA from 1 species